rnacentral:rRNA from 1 species
ACCCCGGGAGGGGAGUGAAAGAGAACCUGAAACCGCAUACAUACAAACAGUAGGAGCCCUACGGGGUGACUGCGUACCUUUUGCAUAAUGGGUCAGCGACUUACGUUUUGCGGCAAGCUUAACCGAGUAGGGGAGGCGCAGCGAAAGCGAGUUCGAACAGAGCGAUAGAGUCGUAAGGCGUAGACCCGAAACCAGAUGAGCUAACCAUGGCCAGGUUGAAGGUGUGGUAACACACACUGGAGGACCGAACCGACCGGUGUUGCAAAACCGGCGGAUGAGCUGUGGUUAGGGGUGAAAGGCUUAACAAAUCUGGAGAUAGCUGGUUCUCCCCGAAAACUAUUGAGGUAGUGCCUCGUGACUGACUCCGGGGGGUAGAGCACUGUUAUGGCUAGGGGGACAUGGCGUCUUACCAAACCAUGGCAAACUCCGAAUACCCGGAAGUUGAAUCACGGGAGACAGAGCACCGGGUGCUAACGUCCGGACUCAAAAGGGAAACAACCCAGACCGCCGUUUAAGGUCCCAAAUACAGGCUAAGUGGAAAACGAAGUGUGAAGGCUAAGACAGUCAGGAAGUUGGCUUAGAAGCAGCCAUCCUUCAAAGAAAGCGUAAUAGCUCACUGAUCGAGUCCUCAUGCGCGGAAGAUGUAACGGGGCUAAGUCUGUAACCGAAAGCGCGGAUUUGUACGCAAGUACAAGUGGUAGGGGAGCGUUCUGUAAGCCUGCGAAGGUGUGUGGUAACGCAUGCCGGAGGUAUCAGAAGUGCGAAUGCUGACAUGAGUAACGAUAAAGCGGGUGAAAAGCCCGCUCGCCGUAAGCCCAAGGUUUCCUGCUCUACGUUCAUCGGAGCAGGGUGAGUCGGCCCCUAAGGCCAGGCUGAGAAGCGUAGCUGAUGGGAAGCAGAUUAAGAUUUCUGCACCGACGUUAAGUGCGAAGGGGGGACGGAGUUUUGAGCAUCAUCCGGGUGUUGGAUGUCCCGGUUUGUGCGUGUAGGAGGCCGGCAGGCAAAUCCGCCGGCGAAUCUCCGAGACAAAGCAUCGAGCUGCAUUUUGCAGUGAAGUGAUGGGAUGAACUUCCAGGAAAAGCCUCUAAGCAAUAGCUUAAUGUCGACCGUACCGUAAACCGACACAGGUGGGCGAGUUGAAUAUACUCAGGCGCUUGAGAGAACUCGGGAGAAGGAACUCGGCAAAUUGACACCGUAACUUCGGGAUAAGGUGUGCCUUUGUAGUGUGAAGAGUGAAACACUCCGAGCAUGAAGAGGUCACAGAGAAUAGGUGGCUGCAACUGUUUACUAAAAACACAGCACUCUGCAAAGACGAAAGUCGACGUAUAGGGUGUGAUGCCUGCCCGGUGCCGGAAGAUUAAGUGAUGGGGUGAGAGCUCCUGAUCGAAGUCCCGGUAAACGGCGGCCGUAACUAUAACGGUCCUAAGGUAGCGAAAUUCCUUGUCGGGUAAGUUCCGACCUGCACGAAUGGCAUAAUGAUGGCCACACUGUCUCCUCCCGAGACUCAGUGAAGUUGAAAUGUUUGUGAUGAUGCAAUCUCCCCGCGGCUAGACGGAAAGACCCCAUGAACCUUUACUGCAGCUUUGCAUUGGACUUUGAACCGAUCUGUGUAGGAUAGGCGGGAGGCAGAGAACCGAGGACGCCAGUCUUUGGGGAGCCGACGUUGAAAUACCGCCCUGAUUUGUUUGAGGUUCUAACCGCGGACAGUAAACCUGUUCCGGGACCGUGCAUGGUAGGCAGUUUGACUGGGGCGGUCUCCUCCUAAAGGGUAACGGAGGAGUACAAAGGUACGCUAGGUACGGUCGGAAAUCGUGCUGAUAGUGCAAUGGCGCAAGCGUGCUUGACUGCGAGACCGACAAGUCGAGCAGAUGCGAAAGCAGGUCAUAGUGAUCCGGUGGCA